rnacentral:rRNA from 1 species
GUAGGGAAUCUUCCACAAUGGACGAAAGUCUGAUGGAGCAACGCCGCGUGAGUGAAGAAGGGUUUCGGCUCGUAAAACUCUGUUAUUGGAGAAGAAGGAUAAGGUAAGUAACUGUACUUUAUUUGACGGUAACCAACCAGAAAGUCACGGCUAACUACGUGCCAGCAGCCGCGGUAAUACGUAGGUGGCGAGCGUUAUCCGGAAUUAUUGGGCGUAAAGCGAGUGCAGGCGGUUGUAUAAGUCUGAUGUGAAAGCCCUCGGCUCAACCGAGGAAUUGCAUCAGAAACUGUAUAACUUGAGUGCAGAAGAGGAGAGUGGAACUCCAUGUGUAGCGGUGGAAUGCGUAGAUAUAUGGAAGAACACCAGUGGCGAAGGCGGCUCUCUGGUCUGUAACUGACGCUGAGGCUCGAAAGCAUGGGUAGCGAACAGGAUUAGAAACCCCAGUAGUCC